rnacentral:piRNA from 1 species
CAAGACACUGACUUUGUAAACUUUGUA